CUCUCUCCUGCCUCCUGUCUGCGUCUCUCCCUGAGAGCCCCAACCCCUCCCUCACCUUCUGCGUGAAGACCCACGACCACCUCUACUACAUGGUGGCCCCCUCGCCCGAGGCUAUGCGCAUCUGGAUGGACGUGAUCGUCACCGGGGCGGAGGGCUACACCCAGUUCCUGAACUGAUGUCCCCUACAUAGCCCUGGACCCACAGGGCCGCCCGCUGCCUUCUUCAUGGAACUCUGGCUCAUAGUGGACCCCCCUCUCCUCACUCCAAACGCCCACUCCGUCUCACUCUCUGCCCCCACCCCAGCCACACCGUCUCACUCUCCUCUUCACUCCGCCUACGCCAAGAGUCAGCGCCGGAAGGCACUGGACCUGAACCUGGGUCUAGACCUGGACCUUGAGCUUGACCUGAAACCGGACCUGGGCCUCGACCUAGAGCUGGUGCUGCCAGACUAUAUUUGAAGCUCCUCUUUCUAAAACAAUGGGUGCCACCUUACAACCUUUUUAUUAUAUAUGGAUUAACAGUCCGAUACAUACAUUGAUCCAUUUCUUCCCUUCUUCAGUGUCUGGCUCAAGUGGUACUUUCACUUUUGUUUCAUUAAUUGGUCAUCAAGGCUCAAAUGUUGUUGGUGUUUCUCUGUUAUGAUUGACAGGUCAGUUACGCUCGUGUAAUUAGAAAGUUAUGAAAAACUACAUUUCACAUGUAUUUUAUUAAGAGGUUUAGUAUGUAAGGGUUGGAUAAUUAAUUUCUACAUGUUCUACUUGUUUGUUUGUAUUUAAAAAGGGAGCCAACAGAGGACACACAAACACAUUUUAUAUAAACCAAAAUGGAUCCAAACUUUCUAAAAAAGAUGGGUUCCAUUGAAAAUCAAACAGUGUUGUACGAGGGAAACAGAUAUUUGUAUUUUGUCAUUUAAAGAUAUUAUUGUGGCGAAAUUUAAACUAUGGUAGUGAUGAAUUAAUAUAAUAUGUUAGAAAGAGAAUAAAAUGUAGAACAAG